rnacentral:lncRNA from 1 species
CUCGCCUCCUGCCUCCCCUGACCCCGCAGGGCUGACAGCCGUCAAGCUCAUCACCUCUGAGAUCAGAGAGACUGGGAAGUAGACACUAGCGCUGCUUUGGGAGAAGGUGAUGAAGUGGCUUCGGGGAGAGUUUCUGGCCGAGUCUCCGACAGUGGGGUGUGCAUUUGCACAGCUGCCUUCCCCAUCACAGUGAUGGCUUCCUUUGGUCCCUCUACAGGACACGCUGGGACUUCUGGAGCCAGGAGGGUCUCAGGGAAGGUAAAAUCUGCUGAGCCCUCCCAGGCUUGGCUUUCCUCAUGACCUGGAGCCAUCCCCAGGAGGGGUCUGCCUUCUCCCUGCAGGGCCGAGACCGCACAGGACUCCAGGGACCCCUCUCCAGGUCUGGGAGAAAUUUCUCACCACUCUUCUCCU